rnacentral:rRNA from 1 species
UAGGGAAUCUUCCACAAUGGACGCAAGUCUGAUGGAGCAACGCCGCGUGAGUGAAGAAGGUUUUCGGAUCGUAAAGCUCUGUUGUUGGUGAAGAAGGAUAGAGGUAGUAACUGGCCUUUAUUUGACGGUAAUCAACCAGAAAGUCACGGCUAACUACGUGCCAGCAGCCGCGGUAAUACGUAGGUGGCAAGCGUUGUCCGGAUUUAUUGGGCGUAAAGCGAGCGCAGGCGGAAGAAUAAGUCUGAUGUGAAAGCCCUCGGCUUAACCGAGGAACUGCAUCGGAAACUGUUUUUCUUGAGUGCAGAAGAGGAGAGUGGAAUUCCAUGUGUAGCGGUGGAAUGCGUAGAUAUAUGGAAGAACACCAGUGGCGAAGGCGACUCUCUGGUCUGCAACUGACGCUGAGGCUCGAAAGCAUGGGUAGCAAACAGG